UGAGUAACCUGCCCUUAACUCUGGGAUAAGCCUGGGAAACUGGGUCUAAUACCGGAUAUGACUCCUCAUCGCAUGGUGGGGGGUGGAAAGCUUUAUUGUGGUUUUGGAUGGACUCGCGGCCUAUCAGCUUGUUGGUGAGGUAAUGGCUCACCAAGGCGACGACGGGUAGCCGGCCUGAGAGGGUGACCGGCCACACUGGGACUGAGACACGGCCCAGACUCCGUACGGGGGGCAG
rnacentral:rRNA from 1 species